GGAUUCCCCUAGUACUGCGAGUGAAGCGGGAAAAGCUCAAAUUUAAAAUCUGGUGGUCUUAGGCCAUCCGAGUUGUAAUUUAGAGAAGCGUCUUCCGCGCCGGACCGUGCACAAGUCUCCUGGAAUGGAGCGUCAUAGAGGGUGAGAAUCCCGUCUUUGGCACGGAUGCCUGGUGCUUCUGUGAUGCGCUCUCGAAGAGUCGAGUUGUUUGGGAAUGCAGCUCAAAAUGGGUGGUGAACUCCAUCUAAAGCUAAAUAUUGGCGAGAGACCGAUAGCGAACAAGUACCGUGAGGGAAAGAUGAAAAGCACUUUGGAAAGAGAGUGAAACAGUACGUGAAAUUGUUGAAAGGGAAACGCUUGAAGUCAGUCGCGUCGACCGAGACUCAGCCUUGCCUCGGCUUGGUGUACUUCUCGGCCCGACGGGUCAGCGUCAAUUUUGCCCCUCGGAUAAUGGCAAGGGAAAGGUGGCACCUUUACGGGUGUGUUAUAGUCUCCUGUCGCAUGCGAGGGGUGGGAUUGAGGAACUCAGCGCGCACCUUGGUGUCGGGGCUUCGGCCCACGUCACGCGCUUAGGAUGCUGGCGUAAUGGCUUUAAACGACCCGUCUUGAAACACGGACCAAGGAGUCCAACACGCCCGCGAGUGUUCGGGUGGAAAACCCGUGCGCGUAAUGAAAGUGAAAGUUGGGACCUCUGUCGUGGAGGGCACCGACGCCCGGACCAGACCUUCUGUGACGGAUCUGCGGUAGAGCGUGUGUGUUGGGACCCGAAAGAUGGUGAACUAUGCCUGAAUAGGGUGAAGCCAGAGGAAACUCUGGUGGAGGCUCGUAGCGAUUCUGACGU
rnacentral:rRNA from 1 species